UGAAAUAAGUAAGUGGAGACAACGUUUCGGCUCCUCUCUGAGCCUUGAUUAAGUUUGCUCAGAGAGGAGCCGAAACAUUGUCUCCACUUCCUUGUUUC